GACGAACAAGCCCUAGGUGGGAAAAAUCAAAGAGAAAGUGUUGGAAUUCAAGGAAACAAGCUAGGUAAGUUAAAAUUUCUUUAAUUCUCCUUGAUACCUAGCUUACCCAUGCUUUUGUUCUUGAAUUCCAUGGUUGAAUAUUGAGUUAUCAUGAUGAAUUCAAUUCUGAAAAAUGGGUAUGGAAGAGGAAUUAUUGUUGGAAUAAUUUGAUUUCAGACUAUGUUAAUGUUUAGGGAUAGUUAAGCAUGGUUAUGAAUAAAAACACAAAAGAAAUAUUCAAUUUCUCUAUGGUUCCUUGUUGGUCGAACCAUGAGGGCUGAAUAUCAAUGGGGGAUUGUUUUUAUUUCAAGGAAAAUGGCUUGGAAAAUGAUGAAUUAAGGUGAAAUGGUUAUAUAGAAAAAUUUUUGGUGCUAGUGCACCAAAUGACCGAAUUUUUCUAUUAGGAACUGUAAGGGUUCUAAUACUGAAUUUGGCUUUAUUUAAAUGGUAUGUGGUAAAUUAAGGUAUUAGAGGAGAAAUGGAUUAAUUUGGAGUGAAAUUGGACGCAUUGGCCAAUUUAUCGGAUGAAAAAUCGACUUAGGUCACUACCGGGUCUAAUGGCUACCCGCGCAUUUUUCAUUUCAUAUCAUAUAUAUAUAUCGAGCCUGAAAUAGCUUAUGAUUGUUAGACACAAUUUAAUUGGAAUAUGUGUCAUGGAUUAUGGCUAGGUGGUGAGCCAUUGGAUGCGGGUAAAUGACUAUACCCGCGAACUGAAAAUAGGAGUAUUUCUACUCCUAAUACCGGUGAGUGGACUUGCAUUUCAAACUUGUUUUGGGAAAUAUGAAAGAUUCUAUCCAACUUGUCUUAGAAAAUGGACCUUGGGAACAAGCUUUUAGUAAAAUAAUUUUAUAUUGUGAAAAUGUGCUAUACAAUGGUUUAUGUGUUAUCACAAUAUGAUAAAAUGCAUGAUAUGCAUUGGAUGCUUCUUUGCAUGUUG
rnacentral:lncRNA from 1 species